rnacentral:rRNA from 1 species
UACAGAGGGUGCAAGCGUUGUUCGGAAUUAUUGGGCGUAAAGGGCGCGUAGGCGGUGUCGCAAGUCGGUCGUGAAAUCUCCAGGCUCAACUUGGAGUCUGCUGCCGAAACUACGAUGCUGGAGUGUGGCAGAGGAAGGUGGAAUUCCACGUGUAGCGGUGAAAUGCGUAGAGAUGUGGAGGAACACCGAUGGCGAAGGCAGCCUUCUGGGCCAACACUGACGCUCAUGCACGAAAGCGUGGGGAGCAAACAGG